GGGCCAUCAUGUGACAGGAUUGGGUUCUCAGCGUGGCAAGCCCAGACACCCAGUGUUUUCCUCAGAGAGGAUCCACCUCUCAGGACUAAUUCACCUCACUGUUAAGUGUCUGACAUGUUACCAAGAGACUGAGGCGCAGAGGAUCUGAGCUCUUCUCCUGGAGAAAAGGGUAUUUCUGCUUGAACCCCAGUGUUGGAAGCACUCUUGCCUUUUCCUGGAUGGAGCUGCUCAUCAUGACAACACUCUCCUGUCUCAGUACUCUCUUCUGACUGAAAAUCAGGCCUGGAGCCACCUCAUCUUUGCAGCCCCUGGAGGAUGUAAGAAAUUUCACAUUUCUGGGAGUGACCAAAAAAAGUGUGUGGUUAAACUUUGAGCAGAGAUUGCCAAGUUGCACUUGAAGGAUUCUUGCAGAUGUGUCCCUGGGGAGGAGAGUGCCUGCUGGGAUUCCCAGUUCUCAACACUUGGUGAUCUUUACGAAUCUAUCACGUGUAACUAACGACUACCAUAUUGGACAGAGUGGCCCUGGGCAAAGCCCUGCUCUGCUGGGCACUCUCAUCUCACUCAGGCGUUGCUAGUGAUGGACUGGAUUCCUUGAGGCACCAAAAAAGUGGCUUGUGGGAUAAACACGGGGAACAUGAAAACAUCUCAGACUCCGAACAAGAUUACUUUGACUCUAAGACAGCAAUGUACUAUGACCUUGGGUGAAUUAUUGAACAGCUCACCAUCCCAGGUUCCUCAUCCUUAGAAUGAGGGUGGGAAAAACCAUACCCAUCUCAAAGGGUCAUCCUGAGGAUUAGGAAUGUUGAUACAUGCCAAGGUCAUGAAAGAGUACCCAAAGAGAGACCACAGCAAGCACGGAAUGUAGGUUAGCUUGUGUUACUGAUGUUAUUAUUAUCCUCAGUUCUCAACUGUUUCGGACAAUGAGAUUGUCAGGGCAGUGGCCUGUAGAUAAUGAAAAUCUUCCCAUGCACUGAGACCUCUAGGACCUUGAACAACCUCUUAGCACUACAAAACUAUUUCCAUGAAAUAAACACUCCUGU